rnacentral:rRNA from 1 species
GACGAACGCUGGCGGCGUGCUUAACACAUGCAAGUCGAACGGAAAGGCCCCUUUGGGGGUACUCGAGUGGCGAACGGGUGAGUAACACGUGAGUAACCUGCCCUUGACUUCGGGAUAACUUCAGGAAACUGGGGCUAAUACCGGAUAGGAAUCCUUGCUGCAUGGUGGGGGUUGGAAAGCUUCGGCGGUUUUGGAUGGACUCGCGGCUUAUCAGCUUGUUGGUGGGGUAGUGGCUUACCAAGGCUUUGACGGGUAGCCGGCCUGAGAGGGCGACCGGCCACAUUGGGACUGAGAUACGGCCCAGACUCCUACGGGAGGCAGAGGGGGGGAAUAUUGCACAAUGGGCGGAAGCCUGAUGCAGCAACGCCGCGUGCGGGAUGACGGCCUUCGGGUUGUAAACCGCUUUCAGCAGGGGCGAAGCUUGUGGUGACGGUACCUGCAGAAGAAGCACCGGCUAACUACGUG